CCUGAGCCGAAGUCGGAUGCUCAACCGACUGAGCCACCCAGGCGACCCUUUACCUUAGUGGCGAUCUCUAGCUCCUGAUUCUUGGCUCUAGGUCGGUUACAGCUUCUGGCACAUCCCCUCCUUGGCUUCUGCGUCUCCACAGUAUUGGCCCUGGUUUUUUUUCUUGGCUUCCUUCUCGACUCACAAGCUGAACCAAGUCACCACUGCUUUCUGCUAUUGACCUUGCAUUCCAUGAUAUGCCAGCUAUAGAAGAACCCCAAAAUCAGAAAGAAAGAAAGAAAAAAAGACUGGAAGUGAACUAGAAAGAGUGGCUUCAGAGACGGCAAGAAAGCGAAAUGUUUCCAGAAGGAGAGUGGUCGACUUGCUAAUGCAGCAGAGAGGGCAAACAGAAUGGGGACUGAAAUGGAGGUAAUUGGAUUUGGCAGCUGGGAAGCUCCUGGUGUCUUUGAAUGGGAGCAACUUCAAGAAAGUGGUAAAGGGACAAGAAACAAAUCUAUGAAAAAGAACUGGUGAGAUUCUAAUGUUCUCCGUGAAGCAGAAAGAAGAUCAGCCUCUAAUACUAAGGAGAUUUAGCAGGAAAUUAAAAACUGUGGUCCACAGAGGUGAUUUACAUAUACUGAAUUCUCACAAUCACCACCUGAAGUGGGUACUAUUAUCCCCAUGUUACACGUUAGGCAACUAACAUAAUGAAGAGUAGUCAUUCAACUAACGUGAGGCAGAUUUAGAACUCAAACCCAGGUCUGUCAUCAAAUUCCCUGCUUUUCUUUAUAUUGUUUUAAUUUUUUUUAAUGUUUGUUUACUUUUGGGAGAGUGCAGAAGGAGAGGGAGACAGAGGAUUGAAGCAGGGCUCAAACCCACCAACCGUGAGAUUAUGACCUGAGCUGAAGUUGAAUGCUUAACUGACCAAGCCACCCUGGUGCCCCCAGAUUCCCUGUUUUUCUUAUUGUAGUUAACCACGAAGGGGAAUGUGAAAGUACUAAUGUAGUAAUAAUAGGUGUAGUAUUAUAAAAUAUUAUUAAUUCCAUAUAAAUAUAGAAUAGUGGUAAGAAUGAUGAGUAACAUGAAUCAGUUGAUGCUGAAUCAGAUACCCUGGUGCCCAUGGUAACAGUGAGAUAAAUACUUUUGUUGCUUAAAAUGUAAUGGCAAGUAAUAGCCUCACAUCUAACUUUAUGCUGUAAAGGACAGUGCUUGUGAGUACCUAUGAUUAAAUAAAAUUAAUACAAAUGA